GAAAAUAGAAAGAUCUAGAAACAGCCUGUUUUUUGCAAUAUGAUUCAGUGUACAUCUCAGAUGCAAUUAAAGCAAAAAUUGGCACAGAUCUCCUGGGCUUUCUAUUGCACACCUCCUGAGCAGCCACGUCCAGAGUAUUCUCACUCCUGUUCUAAAUAUUCUCUUUCUCAUAGCUAGAUGGAAAUUGCUGCUGCUUUCAAUGACGUCUUUCCUUCUGGAUAAAACUCACCCUUUUCUACCCCACUCUGAAAGGAGCAGUGAAAAGACUGUCCUGGGGAGGGGACACGAGUGUGAUGGUCCCAGCACCCAGGACUUGUCCUUGCGAAGGAGCGUGUGUUUCUCCCGGAUCCUUCCCAAGCAGGUAUUUUCUGCUAACCCUUAGCAAGAUUGAGAUAAAGUGAAGGCACCUGAAGUGGUUUUGCUCUUUGAUAAGUGUGUAAUUAAAACCACAGCCUCCUCUGUUCACUCACGGAAGCUGCCGAGAUGGUGGCUGCUGAGAUCGUGACUCCUGAGCGCGGCUCUGAGCAUGAAACCAGCUCCGAGGCAGUGUGGGAUGCAGCCGGGCUGCCAAACUCCACAGCACGAAGCAUUAAAGGUCAGCUAUGAGUCUGUAUUUUUGGCUGGCAGCCGGGGGUGUUUGCUGCACUGUCACGGCACAGCCGCCCCGUGACGCUGACGGGGGACAGGGUGCUCUUUGGCCAACACAUUAACAAUGACAGUCACAUGCCCACUCCAUUGAGCCAUGGAUGCUAUAGGUGGAAAAGACCUUUUUAAUCUCCCUGGAACGAGCCCAAUUAAGUUCAGUUUUCUAUUAGAUCAAGGAGAUGGCUGCCAGCACAAGUGUGGAAAGCAAUUAACUCCUUAAAAGUUCAAACACACUUGACAGACAAAGGCAGCGUUAAGCCAAUGCUAAGGAUGCACAGUCCAGUGCUCCGAGCCCAAACCACCAAACACCCCGGGGGCACAAACAGCCCUCGCCUCCUCCCUGCCCCUGCCAGUCCCGUACAGACCAUAAGUACUUCAUAGUCCCUCGACUGAUAACAUAGAUCAGGUGUGAGACUGCCCACUGUGCUCCUUAAUUGCCAGGCUGUGUCUCUCUAGGAAAUUUCUAGGAAAAGAUUUGGCAAAAGUCUCCCACUUUUGGGAAGGUGUGGGCAAAGCCUGCGAGCAGCAGCCCGGGGCAGGGACGCUGUGGAAAACACACAUUUAGUCCCUUAUGCCUCAACGCCAGGAGCUUGGGCAGCACCCAAGGGCAGUGAAGCCAUGGAAUUCUGAGCAGAAAUCCUACGUUUGGUGACACCGGCCUCUGGAAGACACUUCCCAAAACCUGGCUGUUACAAGUGCGCUGGGUAUAGUCAACAUGGACCUGCCGAGCAAGGAAG
rnacentral:lncRNA from 1 species